AACUUCCCUGAAGGCCUUGAGCCAAUGUCUCCCACUCUUACAAGGGGCUCUGAGUACAUAGUGGGGCACAUCUGCAAUGCUCUGGAAGUUUGCCACUCUGCCUUAACCUUGACUUCCUGUUUGCAUAAGGCCUUAAGGUCACCUCCAGGUUAAUAUUCAUCUGUAGCCUGAGUGACCCCAAAAAGAUGACACUCUUCUGUCCACCAAAACCUUCCAGAGGCUUCCUGUGCUCACUUGAAGUAAAAUCCAAAGUGCUGACUGUGGUUACCAGCUCCCCGGGCUGGCCUGCUGCGGGACGGCUUCUCCACCAGCCUCCCGUUCAAGGCCUCCAUUUCUGCCACUGCGGCGUCUGCAUGGUUCCUGAGCAUCCCAAGCACAUUCCCACCUCAAGGCCUUGGUGCUUGCAGUUCAUCUGCUUCUCUCCUGGUCUAUGCCUGGCUGGUUCUUAUUUCUUUUGAAUUCGGACGAGGUGCACCUCAUGAGAGAGGCCUUCCUUGACCUCCCUCCUCCAUUCCUCUCACAGGCCCCAUCUGACAUGCUUGCCCUCCCCCUCCCCUACCCCCAUCCCCUUGUGAGCCCCAUGAGAGAAGGGCCUCUGUCCUUAGGUAGAUGUGAUUCCCCAGAACCCAGGACAGGACAGCCACACAGGAGGAAACUGACACACUUUUCUUAAAUGAUGGAAUAAAGUACUGACUGUGUUUCAAGC
rnacentral:lncRNA from 1 species